rnacentral:rRNA from 1 species
GCCUCGGUUUGGGCGUUUGCUUGGUUGGGGACCCGCUGUCGGGACCCGCCGACGCAAGUCCUUCCAGGCUUCUGCAAUCCCGUCUGGAGUCCGCCAACGGCGGCCGUUCGCGGUCGAGGAGGGUCGUGGGGUAGGUGCCUCUUUGCCGAGCCUUCGCGGGCUUUUGGGGAGGAGAGCUUACAGCCUUCGGCUCGGUAGAUCGGGGAUGGCCGAGGAGCGUUGCGACCAGUCGCACGGCGUAGCGCAGGCUCCGCAGGGGCCGGGUCGCUUCUGGACUUGCGUGCUUCGCGGCGAGCCACUGCCCGCAGUGACAGCCGACGGUAGGUGCGCUUGUGCGGGAGGCGGACCACGAUU